rnacentral:rRNA from 1 species
CCGGCGCACGGGUGAGUAACACGUAUGGAACCUGCCCGCAGCAGGGGGAUAAGCGGAAGAAAUUCCGUCUAAUACCGCGUAACACCGCAGAGGGGCAUCCCUCGGCGGUUAAAGAUUCAUCGGCUGCGGAUGGCCAUGCGGCGCAUUAGCUAGUCGGCGGGGUAACGGCCCACCGAGGCGACGAUGCGUAGGGGUUCUGAGAGGAAGGUCCCCCACACUGGUACUGAGACACGGACCAGACUCCUACGGGAGGCAGCAG